CCUACGGGUGGCAGCAGUGAGGAAUAUUGGUCAAUGGGCGCGAGCCUGAACCAGCCAAGUCGCGUGAGGGAUGAAGGUUCUAUGGAUCAUAAACCUCUUUUAUAAGGGAAUAAAGUGUGGGACGAGUCCUAUUUUGUAUGUACCUUAUGAAUAAGGAUCGGCUAACUCCGUGCCAGCAGCCGCGGUAAUACGGAGGAUACGAGCGUUAUCCGGAUUUAUUGGGUUUAAAGGGUGCGUAGGCGGGCUUUUAAGUCAGCGGUGAAAGUGUGGGGCUCAACCAUAGAAGGGCCGUUGAAACUGGGAGACUAGAGUAUGUGAGAGGCAGGCGGAAUGCGUGGUGUAGCGGUGAAAUGCAUAGAUAUCACGAAGAACGCCGGUGGCGAAGGCAGCUUGCCGGACCAUGACUGACGCUGAUGCACGAAAGCGUGGGGAGCGAACAGGAUUAGAUACCCUGGUAGUC
rnacentral:rRNA from 1 species